rnacentral:rRNA from 1 species
UACGAAGGGGGCUAGCGUUGCUCGGAAUUACUGGGCGUAAAGGGCGCGUAGGCGGAUAUUUAAGUUAGAGGUGAAAGCCCAGGGCUCAACCCUGGAAUAGCCUUUAAUACUGGAUAUCUUGAGUUCGGGAGAGGUGAGUGGAACUCCGAGUGUAGAGGUGAAAUUCGUAGAUAUUCGGGAGAACACCAGUGGCGAAGGCGACUCACUGGCCCGAUACUGGCGCUGAGGCGCGAAAGCGUGGGGAGCAAACAGG